UAAAAUAAUACUGAUGUUUCGCAAAGUUCUCCCAAGUCACCGCAUCCUUACUCAAAACAUGUCCUUAAAACCUGAAAACUUUCGAAAUGACACUACUUUCUUUUGCAAAAAAAUAAAAAUAAAAAUAAAAAUAAAAUUAAAAUUUUUGGUGGGGCUAAAGGUAUGGGGAGGUAGGAUUGUACUAAAGAUAUACUAUAUUUAGUGACUCGUCAGACUCAUGCAUUAUACUAAAAAGCAAAAUAAACAACCAAAAGGAAAUAACAAUAAAUAAACUAGCUAAAAAAAGCAAAGAAAAAAUGAUAAAG
rnacentral:lncRNA from 1 species